rnacentral:rRNA from 1 species
GUGUCAGCAGCCGCGGUAAGACGAACCGUGCGAACGUUGUUCGGAAUCACUGGGCUUAAAGGGCGCGUAGGCGGGUCACCAAGUCCGGGGUGAAAUCUUUCGGCUUAACCGGAAAAUAGCCUUGGAUACUGGUGGUCUCGAGCGAGGUAGGGGCAGCUGGAACUUCCGGUGGAGCGGUGAAAUGCGUUGAUAUCGGAAGGAACGCCGGUGGCGAAAGCGAGCUGCUGGACCUCUUCUGACGCUGAGGCGCGAAAGCCAGGGGAGCAAACGGGAUUAGAUACCCCCGUAGUCC